rfam:Gasterosteus aculeatus cont1.005582, whole genome shotgun sequence.
AUGGGUUUAAAGUGUAAGUCGCUUUGGAUAAAAGCGUCUGCUAAAUUACCUGUA